rnacentral:rRNA from 1 species
AGCGAACGCUGGCGGCAGGCCUAAUACAUGCAAGUCGAACGCACCUUCGGGUGAGUGGCGGACGGGUGAGUAACGCGUGGGAACGUGCCCUUUGGUACGGAACAACUGAGGGAAACUUCAGCUAAUACCGUAUGUGCCCUUCGGGGGAAAGAUUUAUCGCCAUUGGAGCGGCCCGCGUUGGAUUAGCUAGUUGGUGGGGUAAAGGCCCACCAAGGCUACGAUCCAUAGCUGGUCUGAGAGGAUGAUCAGCCACACUGGGACUGAGACACGGCCCAGACUCCUACGGGAGGCAGCAGUAGGGAAUCUUGCGCAAUGGGCGAAAGCCUGACGCAGCCAUGCCGCGUGAAUGAUGAAGGUCUUAGGAUUGUAAAAUUCCUUCACCGGGGAAGAUAAUGACGGUACCCGGAGAAGAAGCCCCGGCUAACUUCGUGCCAGCAGCCGCCGUAAAAC